rnacentral:rRNA from 1 species
AUACGUAGGGGGCUAGCGUUAUCCGGAUUUACUGGGCGUAAAGGGUGCGUAGGUGGUUUCUUAAGUCAGGAGUGAAAGGCUACGGCUUAACCGUAGUAAGCUCUUGAAACUGGGAAACUUGAGUGCAGGAGAGGAAAGUGGAAUUCCUAGUGUAGCGGUGAAAUGCGUAGAUAUUAGGAGGAACACCAGUGGCGGAGGCGGCUUCCUGGUCUGUAACUGACACUGAGGCGCGAAAGCGUGGGGAGC